rnacentral:rRNA from 1 species
UGCGUAGGUGGUUUCUUAAGUCAGAGGUGAAAGGCUACGGCUCAACCGUAGUAAGCCUUUGAAACUGGGAAACUUGAGUGCAGGAGAGGAGAGUGGAAUUCCUAGUGUAGCGGUGAAAUGCGUAGAUAUUAGGAGGAACACCGAUGGCGAAGGCAGGUCUCUGGGCUAUAACUGACGCUGAGGAGCGAAAGCAUGGGGAGCGAACA